rnacentral:rRNA from 1 species
UAACACGUGGAUAACCUGCCUCACACUGGGGGACAACAGUUAGAAAUGACUGCUAAUACCGCAUAAGCGCACAGUACCGCAUGGUACAGUGUGAAAAACUCCGGUGGUGUGAGAUGGAUCCGCGUCUGAUUAGCCAGUUGGCGGGGUAACGGCCCACCAAAGCGACGAUCAGUAGCCGACCUGAGAGGGUGACCGGCCACAUUGGGACUGAGACACGGCCCAA